CCUACGGGAGGCAGCAGUGAGGAAUAUUGCACAAUGGGGGAAACCCUGAUGCAGCGACGCCGCGUGAGUGAAGAAGUAUCUCUGUAUGUUAAGCUCUAUCAGCAGGGAAGAAAAUGACGGUACCUGACUAAUAAGCCCCGGCUAACUACGUUCCGGCAGCCGCGGUAAUACGUCGGGGGCAAGCGUUAUCCGGAUUUACCGGGUGUAAAGGGAGCGUAGACGGCCUGACAAGUCAGUAGUGAAAGCCCAGGGCUCAACCCUGGAACUGCUGUUGAAACUGUCGGGCUGGAGUGCAGGAGAGGCAAGCGGAAUGCCUAGUGUAGCGGUGAAAUGCGUAGAUAUUAGGCGGAACCCCAGUGGCGAAGGCGGCUUACUGGACUGUAACUGACGUUGAGGCUCGAAAGCGUGGGGAGCAAACAGGAUUAGAUACCCUGGUAGUC
rnacentral:rRNA from 1 species